UUAACACAUGCAAGUCGAACGCGAAAGGGACUUCGGUCCUGAGUAAAGUGGCGCACGGGUGAGUAACGCGUAGAUAACCUGUCUUCAUGUCUGGAAUAAUACGCCGAAAGGGGUACUAAUACCGGAUAUUCUUGCUUUUCAUAAGUUAUGCAAGCAAAGGUGGCCUCUGCAUAUGCUACUGCAUGAAGAGGGGUCUGCGUACCAUUAGCUAGUAGGUGGGGUAAUGGCCUACCUAGGCGACGAUGGUUAGCGGGUCUGAGAGGAUGAUCCGCCACACUGGCACUGGAACACGGGCCAGACUCCUACGGGAGGCAGCAGUGAGGAAUAUUGCGCAAUGGGGGAAACCCUGACGCAGCGACGCCGCGUGAGUGAGGAAAGGCCUUCGGGUCGUAAAGCUCUGUCAAGAGGAAAGAAGUGCACAAUGGCUAAUACCUGUUGUAUUUGACGGUACCUCUAAAGGAAGCACCGGCUGACUCCGUGCCAGCCGCCGC
rnacentral:rRNA from 1 species